UACGUAGGGUGCGAGCGUUGUCCGGAAUUAUUGGGCGUAAAGAGCUUGUAGGCGGUUUGUCGCGUCUGCUGUGAAAUCUCAAGACUCAACCUUGAGCUUGCAGUGGGUACGGGCAGACUAGAGUGUGGUAGGGGGAGACUGGAAUUCCUGGUGUAGCGGUGAAAUGCGCAGAUAUCAGGAGGAACACCGAUGGCGAAGGCAGGUCUCUGGGCCACUACUGACGCUGAGAAGCGAAAGCAUGGGGGAGCGAACAGG
rnacentral:rRNA from 1 species